rnacentral:rRNA from 1 species
GACGAACGCUGGCGGCGUGCCUAAUACAUGCAAGUUGAGCGCUGAAGGUUGGUACUUGUACCAACUGGAUGAGCAGCGAACGGGUGAGUAACGCGUGGGGAAUCUGCCUUUGAGCGGGGGACAACAUUUGGAAACGAAUGCUAAUACCGCAUAAAAACUUUAAACACAAGUUUUAAGUUUGAAAGAUGCAAUUGCAUCACUCAAAGAUGAUCCCGCGUUGUAUUAGCUAGUUGGUGAGGUAAAGGCUCACCAAGGCGAUGAUACAUAGCCGACCUGAGAGGGUGAUCGGCCACCUUGGGACUGAGACACGGCCCAAACGCCUACGGGAGGGAGCAGUAGGGAAUCUUCGGCAAUGGACGAAAGUCUGACCGAGCAACGCCGCGUGAGUGAAGAAGGUUUUCGGAUCGUAAAACUCUGUUGGUAGAGAAGAACGUUGGUGAGAGUGGAAAGCUCAUCAAGUGACGGUAACUACCCAGAAAGGGACGGCUAACUACGUG